rnacentral:other from 3 species
UGAUUCCUGGGGUGUGCGAGAACCCUGUUAUUUUGAACCUACAUUUUCUUUUUGGGAAUCUUAAAUUGUCGGCUGGAUGCCAGGCCACCGAAUUCGCAGUGGAAGGCAGAAGACCGAUUGCGGAAUCCCCCCUAGCUUUGCUAGGAGUCAAAAUUGCAGGAACGGCACUCUGGGAUCAC